CCGAAUAGGGAAGCCGUAGAGAAAUCGAGUCCGAAUAGGGCGAAUAUAGUCGCUGGGUGUAGACCCGAAACCAAGUGAUCUACCCAUGGCCAGGAUGAAGGUGCCGUAACAGGUACUGGAGGUCCGAACCGACUAGUGUUGCAAAACUAGCGGAUGAGCUGUGGAUAGGGGCGAAAGGCUAAACAAACUUGGAAAUAGCUGGUUCUCUCCGAAAACUAUUUAGGUAGUGCCUCAAGUAUUACCUUCGGGGGUAGAGCACUGUUUAGGCUAGGGGGUCAUGGCGACUUACCUAAACCUAUGCAAACUCCGAAAUACCGAAGAGUACAGCUUAGGGAGACAGAGCACCGGGUGCUAACGUCCGGACUCAAAGAGGGAAACAACCCCAGACCGCCAGCUAAGGUCCCUAAAAUUGGCUAAGUGGGAAACGAAGUGGGAAGGCUAAAACAGUCAGGAUGUUGGCUUAGAAGCAGCCAUCAUUUAAAGAAAGCGUAAUAGCUCACUGAUCGAGUCGUCCUGCGCGGAAGAUGUAACGGGGCA
rnacentral:rRNA from 1 species